rnacentral:lncRNA from 1 species
UUAUUGCUCUCUGCCUUUCACUUUUAUUAUUUUUUGAUUAUGCAUAGGUUGGUGUGCCAGCCUGUGGGUAUCUGCACAGGAAUACAGGUGCAUACAGAGGCCAGAGAUCCCCUGGACAGAUCCCCUUGGAGCUGGAAUGACAGACAACUAGGAGCCACCUGCCAUGGGUAGCAGGAACAGAGUCUGAAGGUCUUUAGCAUGUUGUCUUUAGCAUGCUGUGCAAGUUGUGCACGGAUUGAACUCUCUUACCCUGCAAUGGUUGGAAUGAACCACCAACUUGACAGGAUCCAGGGAAUCUCCCAGGAGAUGACCCCUAGGCAUGCUUGCAGGGGAUCAUCUUGAUUUUGUUCUCUGAGCUCUCUGCUUCCUAACUGUGGCCGGAUGUGAGGAUGUGAUGUGACCAACUCCCUCAGGCUCCUGCCGCAGUGACUUCCCAACCGUGAUGGAUUGUAACUUGCAACUCUGAGCAAAAUAAA